rnacentral:rRNA from 1 species
UGGAUUUUAGUAACGGCGAGUGAAGCGGCAAAAGCUCAAAUUUGAAAUCUGGUACCUUCGGUGCCCGAGUUGUAAUUUGGAGAGGGCAACUUUGGGGCCGUUCCUUGUCUAUGUUCCUUGGAACAGGACGUCAUAGAGGGUGAGAAUCCCGUGUGGCGAGGAGUGCGGUUCUUUGUAAAGUGCCUUCGAAGAGUCGAGUUGUUUGGGAAUGCAGCUCUAAGUGGGUGGUAAAUUCCAUCUAAAGCUAAAUAUUGGCGAGAGACCGAUAGCGAACAAGUACAGUGAUGGAAAGAUGAAAAGAACUUUGAAAAGAGAGUGAAAAAGUACGUGAAAUUGUUGAAAGGGAAGGGCAUUUGAUCAGACAUGGUGUUUUGUGCCCUCUGCUCCUUGUGGGUAGGGGAAUCUCGCAUUUCACUGGGCCAGCAUCAGUUUUGGUGGCAGGAUAAAUCCAUAGGAAUGUAGCUUGCCUCGGUAAGUAUUAUAGCCUGUGGGAAUACUGCCAGCUGGGACUGAGGACUGCGACGUAAGUCAAGGAUGCUGGCAUAAUGGUUAUAUGCCGCCCGUCUUGAACCACACGAACCCA